UACGAAGGGGGCUAGCGUUGCUCGGAAUUACUGGGCGUAAAGGGCGCGUAGGCGGCCUUGUCAGUCGGACGUGAAAUUCCUGGGCUCAACCUGGGGACUGCGUUCGAUACGGCGAGGCUAGAGGACGGAAGAGGAUCGUGGAAUUCCCAGUGUAGAGGUGAAAUUCGUAGAUAUUAGGAAGAACACCGGUGGCGAAGGCGGCGAGCUGGUCCGUUACUGACGCUGAGGCGCGAAAGCGUGGGGAGCUAACAGG
rnacentral:rRNA from 1 species